UCCCAGGUGAACGGGAGGAAGAACUUGUUGGCUGUGAGGGUGCCCGAUCCCUGGCCCAGGCUGCCCAGGGGGGCUGUGGAGUCUCCUUCUGUGGAGAUCUUCAACCCCCGCCUGGCCGCUGUCCU